CACCCCUCCCCCACCCACCGCCCUCCGACACAACAACCCAACUGAUGGGUUACACGGAGCGCGGGCUUUUUGCUUUCUCGUCAGGAGACUGCAGUUCUCAACGCCAAGACUUGGUGCAUGUUUUUUGGGUAAAAUAAAGUGUUGGAGCCUUUAGAAGAACACGAAUGCGGGACGGUGGGCGGUACCCUGCUCCCGCGACUGACAGGUCAAUGCAGGAGGUUGAUUUGAUGUCACAUUGGCAGGUGUGUGCCAGGCAUGGUAACGAGCCAAAUGCUGAAGAGCGACAAAAUAUGGCUAUGAGUAAUCUAACACACGACUGAACAGAACUACAGGUUUCAGUUUGUGAUCCUGUCUGAUCUCAGCCAGGACUCGAUCAUGGAGCGACUGGUGUCGCUGAGGGGGAGGCGGCAGGGUUCGUUCAGACACCUGCAGACGUCAGUACAGUCUUAAAACGGUACAUACAUUUUG